CAUCGAGACGGUUCCAUACA
rnacentral:miRNA from 1 species